rnacentral:rRNA from 1 species
UACGAAGGGUGCAAGCGUUAAUCGGAAUUACUGGGCGUAAAGGGUGCGUAGGCGGUUGUUUAAGUCUGUCGUGAAAUCCCCGGGCUCAACCUGGGAAUGGCGAUGGAUACUGGGUAGCUAGAGUGUGUCAGAGGAUGGUGGAAUUCCCGGUGUAGCAGUGAAAUGCGUAGAGAUCGGGAGGAACACCAGUGGCGAAGGCGGCCGACUGGGCCGGAUCCGACGCUGAUGCGCGAAAGCGUGGGGAGCAAACAGG